UACGGGGGGGGCAAGCGUUGUUCGGAAUUACUGGGCGUAAAGGGCUCGUAGGCGGCCAACUAAGUCAGACGUGAAAUCCCCAGGCUCAACCUGGGAACUGCGUCUGAUACUGGAUGGCUUGAAUUCGGGAGAGGGAUGCAGAAUUCCAGGUGUAGCGGUGAAAUGCGUAGAUAUCUGGAGGAAUACCGGUGGCUAAGGCGGCAUCCUGGACCGACAUUGACGCUGAGGAGCGAAAGCUAGGGGAGCAAACGGG
rnacentral:rRNA from 1 species